rnacentral:rRNA from 1 species
UACGAAGGGGGCUAGCGUUGUUCGGAAUCACUGGGCGUAAAGCGCACGUAGGCGGAUGUGUCAGUCAGGGGUGAAAUCCUGGAGCUCAACUCCAGAACUGCCUUUGAUACUGGGAAUCUCGAGUCCGGGAGAGGUGAGUGGAACUGCGAGUGUAGAGGUGAAAUUCGUAGAUAUUCGCAAGAACACCAGUGGCGAAGGCGGCUCACUGGCCCGGUACUGACGCUGAGGUGCGAAAGCGUGGGGAGCAAACAGG